AACGCAUAUUGCACCCUUUCGGGGGUAUGCCUGUUUGAGAAUCUAUAGUAUUCUUUUUUUCAGUGUAUGCUGGAAAAGACUUGGCGCUUCUCGGGUUUUCGAGUGCGCUUAAAACUAUAGCUUGGGGUCUUUUAGAUGCCGCAGCAAAAUUGUUUGAAGCUUCUUGAGCAACCUGCAACUAGCUAUGGAGAAAACAUUUAAAAAACACCAACUAAACCAAGGAGGCCUAAACAAGCCCGAACCAUGGUCUCAAAUCAGGUAGGAGGACCCGCUGAACUUAA
rnacentral:misc_RNA from 1 species